rnacentral:ncRNA from 1 species
ACCAAGGAGUCUAACAUGUGCGCGAGCCGCGGGGCAGUACGAAACCCGUAAGGCGAAAUGAAGGUGAACGCCGGCGCGGUCCGGCGGAGGUUGGAUCCCGUCCCGUCGGGGCGGGCGCACUACCGGCCGAUCUUCUCCGCCCUGUCGGCGAGGUCGAGCGAGAGCGUGCAAGUCGGGACCCGAAAGAUGGUGAACUAUGCCUGAGGAGGUUGAAGCCAGAGGAAACUCUGGUGGAGGACCGUAGCGAUUCUGACGUGCAAAUCGAUCGUCAAAUUUGGGUAUAGGGGCGAAAGACUAAUCGA